CGUCUGCGCACGCUGCAGCCGCCGCCUGGACCGGGGACCCACCGCAGUUCUGGGGUGAAGCACGGCCGCACGCAGGUGUGGCCGAGCCGGGCGAGUUCCCCGCCCGAACCCGUCAGCUAACUCGGUAGGCGGUUGAGGAGAACAA
rnacentral:sRNA from 2 species